UACAGAGGAGCCAAGCGUUGUCCGGAUUGACUGGGCGUAAAGCGCACGCAGGCGGCAUCGCGCGUGGGGUGUGAAAUCUGGCCGCUUAACGGCCAGGCGCCAUCCCAUACGGCGAGGCUGGAGCGAUGCAGAGGUCGGUGGAAUUGCCGGUGUAGUGGUGAAAUGCGCAGAUAUCAGGAGGAACACCGGUGGCGAAGGCGGGUCUCUGGGCAACAACUGACGCUGAGGAGCGAAAGCGUGGGGAGCGAACAGG
rnacentral:rRNA from 1 species